UGAAAGGCGAAACGUAAUGUGAAUCGCAACUAACAGUGAAUCAUCGAAUCUUUGAACGCAGGCCGCACUUCGUAGUAAAACUCUGUUUUGCUGCGAGGUAUCUACGUGUGAGUGUCAGCCAUAUAUCUUUUUGGUUUAUAGGGGAGAAUUUGAUUUAUCAUUUUCCAACCUGUGAAUACACAAGUGUCUAGCGACAUAUCUCUUGAAGCAAGUCACAUUGUCUGGCCUCACAUGUGGAAGAUUACCCGCUGGAUUUAA
rnacentral:misc_RNA from 1 species